GACGAACGCUGGCGGCGUGCUUAACACAUGCAAGUCGAACGGAAAGGCCCUGCUUUUGUGGGGUGCUCGAGUGGCGAACGGGUGAGUAACACGUGAGUAACCUGCCCUUGACUUUGGGAUAACUUCAGGAAACUGGGGCUAAUACCGGAUAGGAGCUCCUGCUGCAUGGUGGGGGUUGGAAAGUUUCGGCGGUUGGGGAUGGACUCGCGGCUUAUCAGCUUGUUGGUGGGGUAGUGGCUUUCCAAGGCUUUGACGGGUAGCCGGCCUGAGAGGGUGACCGGCCACAUUGGGACUGAGAUACGGCCCAGACUCCUACGGGAGGCAGAAGUGGGGAAUAUUGCAGAAUGGGCGGAAGCCUGAUGCAGCAACGCCGCGUGCGGGAUGACGGCCUUCGGGUUGUAAACCGCUUUCGCCUGUGACGAAGCGUGAGUGACGGUAAUGGGUAAAGAAGCACCGGCUAACUACGUG
rnacentral:rRNA from 1 species